CAUGGCGGCCGGCACUGCGGGGCUCCCACGCGAGGAAAAUUGUUCUGGUUCCUCCUGUUGCUGCUGGAUCACAUCGUUAACAUCCAGGGAGAACUGGGUCCCUGUUGGUGGAUGAAAAGCUGCAGACCUGUGUGGUUCAGGUGAGCCAGCCUGCACAGGUAACCCACAGGAGCAAAGUUCUCCUGCUGUAGGAGCCUCCGGGUCGGGGAAUGUGGCAGGGAGGAGAAGAACCCUGCGUGUUUCUGGGUCAGGACCUGGAUGGACCAGUUUCUGAGAUGCUGACGCGUCAGAUACCUCCGCCCUGACGUCGUCUUACCUGAGGCUGCAGGUGGUGGAGGUGGAGGGCUGACGCUCCAGAACCAGAACCAGCACAGACGGACACAGUCCUCUGAUUCUGAUGGGCCCAUUACUGUCUGAGCAGCAGAGACAGAAAACAUUUACAGGAGUCCAGACUGGAGGACCACCAGGUCCAGACUGGAGAAGAUCGCUGCUCUGGAACAAGCAGGUGUUUGUGAAGGAAAGACUUCAGCCAUGACCUGCUGGUGGAGCUGCUGAUGUUCUGGAGAACCCCAGAUGAAUGAGGUUGCUGGGCUGAACGGUACCUGGAGGGUAAAGGCUGGUGGCUCCCUCUAGUGGCAGGCUGCCUUAACCUCACCUGAUGAGGCCCAGCAAGCAGGAACUGGUCAGAGAUCAACAUUUAACCCAGUGUUAGAGAAAAACACUGAGGUUAAGGUCUGCACUUUGACUAGGCCAUGGCAGCACCUUCAUUCUUCUGGAUUACACUGGUGACACAGUCUCCUUGCAGCUAGAAGCAGUGGUCUCAGACUCCAAGUCCUCCAGGGCCGGCGGCACACCUGACUCCAGCUCAGUGGCAGAGCUGAGGAGCUUGAUUGGAUGCUAGGGAGCUAGUUCAAACAUUUGUAGGGUAAGAGACACAUUUUAAAGCUGCAGGACGCUUUUGAGACCACUGCCUCCCAGCUUUGUGCUGAUAUGUGGUGUUUGGUUUUCUCCAAACACGGAGUGGUCAGGUCUGACAAACAGUUACACCAGGGGUCAGCAACACGGGGCCCGUUCAUCGGCCUGUUCUAAAACAGCACAACCCACCAGGGAGCUGCAUCAAAAACUGCAUUUUAUCUUGUUGCUUUUCCGUUUUUAGUCACACCUGCAUUUAUAUAGAUUUAAAAUGACAAAACUUCACCAGCGUCUUCAUCUUCUUCAUCAUUAAAGAGUGUAUGUACCAACAUAAAGGUCAUUUUCUAUAGAGUUACCAUAAAGCCUACUAAGGUAAGGCAUCAGCAGCUGCUUUGGUAAUUUGACGGUAAAAACAAAGACCCAGAUCUUACAUUUAGUAAAGACAGCAGGUAAAAUAAAGUUAAUGGCUCCUCCUCUGUCUCCACAGGAGCUUUUUGGGCAGUCCUUCCUCAGACAGGUAGAUAAGGUUUUAAACUUCUCCUCUCAGGUAUUCUACUCUGAGUUUGUGCUGCAGAACUCCAGCAGAAGGUGCAGGACUCCUUAUGCAAAUAAAACAGAUUUAAACAUUCGUUCAUCCCACUGUCUAUAAAACUGGUUAAUGAGCGCUUGGUUUGUAACCAGGAGAUUAACAGGAGGACACGCAGGAAGCAGCACUUAUGGUCUGUUAUGAUCUACAGCAGCACACUGGGAGGGCAGUGGUGUCUGAAAUUAUUCUGUUUUUAAAGGUUGACUUGUGCUGUUCUAAUAUUAUUGUUUUAGUCAAACUGUGAUUUAUGAACUGUUGUUGCUAUUUUACUAAGACUCCUUUUAGUAGUGAUUAAAUGUGUAGUGCAAUGCAGCUGAUCCUUGCAUCCAAGGACGAAUUUCUCUCAAGGGAGACGAAUAAAGAUACUUUGAAAAGCAUGAAAAAUGUUCAUUUUAAUGUAACAUUAAGGUGAGCUCUGACUUUUAGAUCAAAGGUCAGUACAGGUAGCCCUUCGCAUGACACGGUACCGAUGAAGUAGCUCUCAGUUUCAGAAAGGUUUACACCAACAGAUGCCUGAGUGUCCAUGAUUUAAACUAAAGAGGGUUUAUUCUGUGGCUUUAACUUUAAUUUCCCCAAAGGUAGAGCAGCGCCCUCUGGUGGCUGCAGCAUUCACAACAACCCUUCAGGUAAAACUGCCUGUUUGGAUUUGGCUCUUAAUGUUAAAUGGCAAAUCUAAUGGAACAAAUCACUGCGACUUUUAUUAAAAAUUAACAUAUGUUCAAAACUGUGAAUAUAAAUAUGUUAAAGAUCAGGGAGACGUUCAGUGCCUUUGAAAAAUGCUUUAUUUGUUAGUACACAGUGUCAUUAUUGUUAAAGAAAGGAAUUAUGGUAUACAGAAAAGAAAAAAAAAA